rnacentral:rRNA from 1 species
AUGAUGCCCAGCUUGCUGGGCGGAUUAUGGCGAACGGGUGAGUAAUACGUGAGUAACCUGCCCUUGACUCUGGGAUAAGCCUGGGAAACUGGGUCUAAUACUGGAUACUACCUCUUGCCGCAUGGUGGGUGGGGAAAGGGUUUUACUGGUUUUGGAUGGGCUCACGGCCUAUCAGCUUGUUGGGGGGGAAGGUCACCAAGGCGACACGGGUAGCCGGCCUGAGAGGGUGACCGGCCACACUGGGACUGAACACGGCCCAGACUCCUACGGGAGGCAGCAGUGGGGAAUAUUGCACAAUGGGCGGAAGCCUGAUGCAGCGACCCCGCGUGAGGGAUGACGGCCUUCGGGUUGUAAACCUCUUUCAGUAGGGAAGAACGAGAGUGACGGACCUGCAGA